UACGUAGGGUGCAAGCGUUGUCCGGAAUUAUUGGGCGUAAAGAGCUCGUAGGCGGUUUGUUGCGUCGGCUGUGAAAUCCCGAGGCUCAACCUCGGGUCUGCAGUCGAUACGAGCAAACUAGAGUGUUGCAGGGGAGACUGGAAUUCCUGGUGUAGCGGUGAAAUGCGCAGAUAUCAGGAGGAACACCGGUGGCGAAGGCGGUUCUCUGGGCCUUACCUGACACUGAGGAGCGAAAGCGUGGGGAGCGAACAGG
rnacentral:rRNA from 1 species